rnacentral:rRNA from 1 species
GGGUUGUGAGGUUAAGCGACUAAGCGUACACGGUGGAUGCCCUGGCAGUCAGAGGCGAUGAAGGACGUGCUAAUCUGCGAAAAGCGUCGGUAAGGUGAUAUGAACCGUUAUAACCGGCGAUGUCCGAAUGGGGAAACCCAGUGCAAUUCGUUGCACUAUCGUUAACUGAAUACAUAGGUUAACGAGGCGAACCGGGGGAACUGAAACAUCUAAGUACCCCGAGGAAAAGAAAUCAACCGAGAUUCCCCCAGUAGCGGCGAGCGAACGGGGAGCAGCCCAGAGUCUGAAUCAGCUUGUGUGUUAGUGGAACGGUCUGGAAAGUCCGACGGUACAGGGUGAUAGUCCCGUACACCAAAAUGCACAGGUUGUGAACUCGAAGAGUAGGGCGGGACACGUGGUAUCCUGUCUGAAUAUGGGGGGACCAUCCUCCAAGGCUAAAUACUCCUGACUGACCGAUAGUGAACCAGUACCGUGAGGGAAAGGCGAAAAGAACCCCGGCGAGGGGAGUGAAAAAGAACCUGAAACCGUGUACGUACAAGCAGUGGGAGCACCUUCGGGUGUGACUGCGUACCUUUUGUAUAAUGGGUCAGCGACUUAUAUUCUGUAGCAAGGUUAACCGUAUAGGGGAGCCGCAGGGAAACCGAGUCUUAACUGGGCGUUAAGUUGCAGGGUAUAGACCCGAAACCCGGUGAUCUAGCCAUGGGCAGGUUGAAGGUUGGGUAACACUAACUGGAGGACCGAACCGACUAAUGUUGAAAAAUUAGCGGAUGACUUGUGGCUGGGGGUGAAAGGCCAAUCAAACCGGGAGAUAGCUGGUUCUCCCCGAAAGCUAUUUAGGUAGCGCCUCGUGAAUUCAUCUUCGGGGGUAGAGCACUGUUUCGGCUAGGGGGUCAUCCCGACUUACCAACCCGAUGCAAACUACGAAUACCGAAGAAUGUUAUCACGGGAGACACACGGCGGGUGCUAACGUCCGUCGUGAAGAGGGAAACAACCCAGACCGCCAGCUAAGGUCCCAAAGUCAUGGUUAAGUGGGAAACGAUGUGGGAAGGCACAGACAGCCAGGAUGUUGGCUUAGAAGCAGCCAUCAUUUAAAGAAAGCGUAAUAGCUCACUGGUCGAGUCGGCCUGCGCGGAAGAUGUAACGGGGCUAAACCAUGCACCGAAGCUGCGGCAGCGACACUAUGUGUUGUUGGGUAGGGGAGCGUUCUGUAAGCCUGCGAAGGUGACCUGUGAGGGUUGCUGGAGGUAUCAGAAGUGCGAAUGCUGACAUAAGUAACGAUAAAGCGGGUGAAAAGCCCGCUCGCCGGAAGACCAAGGGUUCCUGUCCAACGUUAAUCGGGGCAGGGUGAGUCGACCCCUAAGGCGAGGCCGAAAGGCGUAGUCGAUGGGAAACAGGUUAAUAUUCCUGUACUUGGUGUUACUGCGAAGGGGGGACGGAGAAGGCUAUGUUAGCCGGGCGACGGUUGUCCCGGUUUAAGCAUGUAGGCUGGUUGUCCAGGCAAAUCCGGAUAAUCAAGGCUGAGGUGUGAUGACGAGGUACUACGGUGCUGAAGUAACAAAUGCCCUGCUUCCAGGAAAAGCCUCUAAGCAUCAGGUAACAUCAAAUCGUACCCCAAACCGACACAGGUGGUCAGGUAGAGAAUACCAAGGCGCUUGAGAGAACUCGGGUGAAGGAACUAGGCAAAAUGGUGCCGUAACUUCGGGAGAAGGCACGCUGGUGUGUAGGUGAAGUCCCUGCGGAUGGAGCUGAGACCAGUCGAAGAUACCAGCUGGCUGCAACUGUUUAUUAAAAACACAGCACUGUGCAAACACGAAAGUGGACGUAUACGGUGUGACGCCUGCCCGGUGCCGGAAGGUUAAUUGAUGGGGUUAUCCGUAAGGAGAAGCUCUUGAUCGAAGCCCCGGUAAACGGCGGCCGUAACUAUAACGGUCCUAAGGUAGCGAAAUUCCUUGUCGGGUAAGUUCCGACCUGCACGAAUGGCGUAAUGAUGGCCAGGCUGUCUCCACCCGAGACUCAGUGAAAUUGAACUCGCUGUGAAGAUGCAGUGUACCCGCGGCAAGACGGAAAGACCCCGUGAACCUUUACUAUAGCUUGACACUGAACAUUGAGCCUUGAUGUGUAGGAUAGGUGGGAGGCUUUGAAGCGUGGACGCCAGUCUGCGUGGAGCCAACCUUGAAAUACCACCCUUUAAUGUUUGAUGUUCUAACGUUGGCCCCUUACCGGGGUUGCGGACAGUGUCUGGUGGGUAGUUUGACUGGGGCGGUCUCCUCCCAAAGCGUAACGGAGGAGCACGAAGGUUAGCUAAUCCUGGUCGGACAUCAGGAGGUUAGUGCAAUGGCAUAAGCUAGCUUGACUGCGAGCGUGACGGCGCGAGCAGGUGCGAAAGCAGGUCAUAGUGAUCCGGUGGUUCUGAAUGGAAGGGCCAUCGCUCAACGGAUAAAAGGUACUCCGGGGAUAACAGGCUGAUACCGCCCAAGAGUUCAUAUCGACGGCGGUGUUUGGCACCUCGAUGUCGGCUCAUCACAUCCUGGGGCUGAAGUAGGUCCCAAGGGUAUGGCUGUUCGCCAUUUAAAGUGGUACGCGAGCUGGGUUUAGAACGUCGUGAGACAGUUCGGUCCCUAUCUGCCGUGGGCGCUGGAGAAUUGAGGGGGGCUGCUCCUAGUACGAGAGGACCGGAGUGGACGCAUCACUGGUGUUCGGGUUGUCAUGCCAAUGGCACUGCCCGGUAGCUAAAUGCGGAAGAGAUAAGUGCUGAAAGCAUCUAAGCACGAAACUUGCCCCGAGAUGAGUUCUCCCUGAGACUUUAAGUCUCCUGAAGGAACGUUAAAGACGAUGACGUUGAUAGGCCGGGUGUGUAAGCGCAGCGAUGCGUUGAGCUAACCGGUACUAAUGAACCGUGAGGCUUAACCUUACAACGCCGAAG